rnacentral:rRNA from 1 species
AUUGAACGCUGGCGGCAGGCCUAACACAUGCAAGUCGAAUGGUAACAGGAAACAGCUUGCUGUUUCGCUGACGAGUGGCGGACGGGUGAGUAAUGUCUGGGAAACUGCCUGAUGGAGGGGGAUAACUACUGGAAACGGUAGCUAAUACCGCAUAACGUCGCAAGACCAAAGAGGGGGACCUUCGGGCCUCUUGCCAUCAGAUGUGCCCAGAUGGGAUUAGCUAGUAGGUGGGGUAACGGCUCACCUAGGCGACGAUCCCUAGCUGGUCUGAGAGGAUGACCAGCCACACUGGAACUGAGACACGGUCCAGACUCCUACGGGAGGCAGCAGUGGGGAAUAUUGCACAAUGGGCGCAAGCCUGAUGCAGCCAUGCCGCGUGUAUGAAGAAGGCCUUCGGGUUGUAAAGUACUUUCAGCGGGGAGGAAGGGAGUAAAGUUAAUACCUUUGCUCAUUGACGUUACCCGCAGAAGAAGCACCGGCCAACUCCGUG